GGAAUGCAGCUCUAAGCGGGUGGUAAAUUCCAUCUAAAGCUAAAUACCGGCCGGAGACCGAUAGCGCACAAGUAGAGUGAUCGAAAGAUGAAAAGCACUUUGGAAAGAGAGUCAAACAGCACGUGAAAUUGUUGAGAGGGAAGCGCUUGCCCCCAGACCUGCCCGCAGGCGAUCACCCGUGGCUCGUGGCGGGGUACUCGCCCGCGUUCAGGCCAGCACGGGUUCGGGCAGCGGGAGAAAGGGCCCGGGAACGUAGCUCCCUCCGGGGAGCCUUAUAGCCCAGGCGGCCAUGCCGCUCGCCCGGACCGAGGACCGCGCUCCGGCUAGGGUGCUGGCGUAAUGGGGGUCAGCGGCCCGUCUUGAAACACGGACCAAGGAGUCUAACGUCCCCGCGAGUGUUCGGGCGUCAAACCCCGGCGCGGAAUGAAAGUGAACGGAGGUGGGAGCCCUUCCGGGGGCGCACCAUCGACCGAUCCUGAUGUCUUCGGAUGGAUUGAGUAGGAGCGCGGCCGUUGGGACCCGAAAGAUGGUGAACUAUGCCUGGGUAGGGUGAAGCCAGAGGAAACUCUGGUGGAGGCUCGCAGCGGUUCUGACGUGCAAAUCGAUCGUCGAACCUGGGCAUAGGGGCGAAAGACUAAUCGAACCAUCUAGUAGCUGGUUCCUGUCGAAGUUUCCCUCAGGAUAGCAGUCGCGCGGGCGGUUUUAUGAGGUAAAGCGAAUGAUUAGAGGCCUUGGGGACGCAACGUCCUUAACCUAUUCUCAAACUUUAAAUAUGUAAGAAGCCCCUGUUGCUCCGGUGAACGGGGGCAUGCAACGCGGCGCGGCUAGUGGGCCAUUUUUGGUAAGCAGAACUGGCGAUGCGGGAUGAACCGAACGCGGGGUUAAGGUGCCGGAAUGCACGCUCAUCAGACACCACAAAAGAUGUCAAUCCAUCCGGACAGCCGGACGGUGGCCAUGGAAGCCGGAACCCGCUAAGGAGUGGUAACAGCUCACCGGCCGAAUGAAUUGGCUCUGAAAA
rnacentral:rRNA from 1 species